UGGAAACAAGCAUAAGUUAUCUUCCCAUGG
rnacentral:piRNA from 1 species